rnacentral:rRNA from 1 species
AGGUCUUGCCUGCCCAGUGACAAGUUAAACGGCCGCGGUAUUUUGACCGUGCGAAGGUAGCGCAAUCACUUGUCUUUUAAAUGAAGACCUGUAUGAAUGGCGGAACGAGGGCUUAACUGUCUCCCCUUUCAAGUCAAUGAAAUUGAUCUGUCCGUGCAGAAGCGGACAUACCCAUACAAGACGAGAAGACCCUUUGGAGCUUAAGAUGCAAGAUCAACUAUGUCAAGAACCCCAUAAACCAAGUCAAACUAAAUAGCACCUGAUCCCUAUCUUCGGUUGGGGCGACCACGGGAGAAAAUAAAGCUCCCACGCGGACCGGGGCCUACCCCCCAAAACUAAGAAAGACACUUCUAAGUCGCAGAACAUCUGACCACAAAGAUCCGGCUACUCGCCGAUCAACGGACCAAGUUACCCUAGGGAUAACAGCGCAAUCCCCUUUCAGAGUCCAUAUCGACAAGGGGGUUUACGACCUCGAUGUUGGAUCAGGACAUCCUAAUGGUGCAGCCGCUAUUAAGGGUUCGUUUGUUCAACGAUUAAAGUCCUACGUGAUCU